AUUGAACGCUGGCGGCAGGCUUAACCCAUGCAAAUCGCGCGAGCGGCGGACGGGUGAGUAAUGUCGGGGAAACUGCCUGAUGGAGGGGGAUAACUACUGGAACCGGUAGCUAGUACCGCAUACCAUCAGAUGUGCCCAGAUGGGAUUAGCGAGGGGGUGGGGGAAUGGCUCACCUAGGCGACGAUCCCUAGCUGGGCGGAGAGGAUGACCAGCCAUACUGGAACGGAGACACGGGCCAGCCUCCUACGGGAGGCAGCAGUGGGGAAUAUUGCACAAUGGGCGCAAGUCUGAUGCAGCCAUGCCGCGUGGGUGAAGAAGGCCGUCGGGUUGUAAAGCACUGCCAGUGAGGAGGCGUUACUCGCAGAAGAAGCACCGGCUAACUCCGUGACAGCAGCCGCGGUAAUUC
rnacentral:rRNA from 1 species